CGGGACACGUGGUAUCCUGUCUGAAUAUGGGGGGACCAUCCUCCAAGGCUAAAUACUCCUGACUGACCGAUAGUGAACCAGUACCGUGAGGGAAAGGCGAAAAGAACCCCGGCGAGGGGAGUGAAAAAGAACCUGAAACCGUGUACGUACAAGCAGUGGGAGCACGCUUAGGCGUGUGACUGCGUACCUUUUGUAUAAUGGGUCAGCGACUUAUAUUCUGUAGCAAGGUUAACCGAAUAGGGGAGCCGAAGGGAAACCGAGUCUUAACUGGGCGUUAAGUUGCAGGGUAUAGACCCGAAACCCGGUGAUCUAGCCAUGGGCAGGUUGAAGGUUGGGUAACACUAACUGGAGGACCGAACCGACUAAUGUUGAAAAAUUAGCGGAUGACUUGUGGCUGGGGGUGAAAGGCCAAUCAAACCGGGAGAUAGCUGGUUCUCCCCGAAAGCUAUUUAGGUAGCGCCUCGUGAAUUCAUCUCCGGGGGUAGAGCACUGUUUCGGCAAGGGGGUCAUCCCGACUUACCAACCCGAUGCAAACUGCGAAUACCGGAGAAUGUUAUCACGGGAGACACACGGCGGGUGCUAACGUCCGUCGUGAAGAGGGAAACAACCCAGACCGCCAGCUAAGGUCCCAAAGUCAUGGUUAAGUGGGAAACGAUGUGGGAAGGCCCAGACAGCCAGGAUGUUGGCUUAGAAGCAGCCAUCAUUUAAAGAAAGCGUAAUAGCUCACUGGUCGAGUCGGCCUGCGCGGAAGAUGUAACGGGGCUAAACCAUGCACCGAAGCUGCGGCAGCGACGCUUAUGCGUUGUUGGGUA
rnacentral:rRNA from 1 species